UACUGCUUUUAAAGCUGGAAGCCUGGUGU
rnacentral:piRNA from 1 species